rnacentral:tRNA from 1 species
UGUUCUAUGGCUUAGUUGGUUAAAGUUCCGAAAUAGCGGGUCGUGGGUUCGAAUCCCACCAAAUCAA